CAGCAGCCGCGGUAAAACGGAGGGAGCUAGCGUUAUUCGGAAUUACUGGGCGUAAAGCGCACGUAGGCGGCUUUGUAAGUUAGAGGUGAAAGCCUGGAGCUCAACUCCAGAAUUGCCUUUGAUACUGGCGACCUUGAGUAUGGGAGAGGUAAGUGGAACUCCGAGUGUAGAGGUGAAAUUCGUAGAUAUUCGGAAGAACACCAGUGGCGAAGGCGACUUACUGGCCCAUUACUGACGCUGAGGCUCGAAAGCAUGGGGAGCAAACAGGAUUAGAUACCCCCGUAGUCCCUUCUCUUAUACA
rnacentral:rRNA from 1 species